ACGGGUAUAGCUCAGGGGUAGAGCUCAUGCCUAGAAUGCAUGAGGUCCCAGGUUCAAUUCCCAGUACCUCCA
rnacentral:tRNA from 1 species